rnacentral:rRNA from 1 species
UACGUAGGGGGCGAGCGUUGUCCGGAUUUAUUGGGCGUAAAGAGCUCGUAGGCGGUUCGGCAAGUCGACGGUGAAAUCUCCACGCUCAACGUGGAGGGGUCCGUCGAUACUGCCGUGACUCGAGUCCGGUAGGGGAGAAUGGAAUUCCCGGUGUAGCGGUGAAAUGCGCAGAUAUCGGGAAGAACACCCGUGGCGAAGGCGGUUCUCUGGGACGGUACUGACGCUGAGACGCGAAAGCGUGGGGAGCGAACAGG